rnacentral:rRNA from 1 species
UGGGGAAUAUUGGACAAUGGGGGGAACCCUGAUCCAGCCAUGCCGCGUGUGUGAAGAAGGCCUUAUGGUUGUAAAGCACUUUAAGCGAGGAGGAGGGUACUGGUAUUAAUACUACCAGGUACUGGACGUUACUCGCAGAAUAAGCACCGGCUAACUCUGUGCCAGCAGCCGCGGUAAUACAGAGGGUGCGAGCGUUAAUCGGAUUUACUGGGCGUAAAGCGUGCGUAGGCGGCUAAUUGAGUCGGAUGUGAAAUCCCCGAGCUUAACUUGGGAAUUGCAUUCGAUACUGGUUAGCUAGAGUGUGGGAGAGGAUGGUAGAAUUCCAGGUGUAGCGGUGAAAUGCGUAGAGAUCUGGAGGAAUACCGAUGGCGAAGGCAGCCAUCUGGCCUAACACUGACGCUGAGGUACGAAAGCAUUGGGAGCAAACAGG